rnacentral:rRNA from 1 species
UCUUGGAAAUAAAAAGAAAAUCUACCAGAGUACUAUGAAUAAAAAUUUAAAACUCAAAGAGCUUGGCGGUGCUUUAGACUUUUUAGGGGAACCUGUCUUAUAAUCGACAAUCCACGUUAUACCUGACCCUUUCUUGCAUACAAUUUGUAUACCGUCGUCGUCAGGUAACUUUUAAAAAUUUUAGUAGUUAGCAAAAAAGUUUAAUUUAUAAACUUAAACGUCAGAUCAAGGUGCAGCUAAUGAAAGGGGCAAGAUGGGUUACAAUUAUAAAAUAAUAAUACGAAAAACUAGUUGAAAUACCACUUUAAAGGAGGACUUAAAAGUAAGUUAUAUGAUUAUAUAUAUAUUAGCUGAAUAAAGCUCUGAAGCGUGC